CUGAUUUGGGGAUUCACUCAUAUUAAAAUUUCAAUUUUAAUGCACAUUUUUAACUUUUGGUCUCUGUUAUAUAAAAUUAAUAACUGUUUCCUAAGCAGAUAAUUCAGAAUAGGUCAUGAUAUUCAUCGCAAUAUGGAAUAAAAAUCAAGAAAUCAUACAUGCUGUUAAAAUCGUAAAGGCAAAGAUAGUCAUAAAAAUGAGUGCACAUGUGAAUCAAGAUCAGAGCACAAGAAUGUUCAAGGUGGUUGCUAUAGGUUCCACAGAAGAAUAUAUUCUGGGAGAUACUGUUGAACCUGUCAUCCCUGAACCUGGGUUAAAAUAUGACGCUGACAAACUGGAAGAUGUGCAAGUAAAAUGCAAAACGGAACCUGAAGAUACUGAUAGCAAAAAAAAUGUAAUACAAGAUCUUGUUAAACUCGUAAAAUUAGAACACAGUGGUAACUUAUUGGAGGAAAAUCCUUUCAUGAUAUUACAGAAUGAACCACCAUGGGAUGAUGACGAUCUCGAAAGAAAACUAGAUCAGUUCACAAAUGAAUUGAAAAAUAAAGAGAGGAAAUUGAAAAGUCAUAAGAUGACCACAGAUGCAAUCUCAAGUCCUCAGGUAAAAUUCCAAUCAAAUGAUGUUCAUCCACGCAGUAUCAGAAGAAACUUAGUACAGACCAAGUUGAAAUUUCCUAAAGUUGAAGAUACAAAUAUGACUUUAAGACGAAGCCCAAGAAAGGUUUCAGUUGUCUGCAAAAACAAUGAAUUGAAGAAAUCCUUAGGUUUUACAGCACUAGCUGUUCCCAACCACCAUUAGAAAAAGUGAGAUUAUGAAGAAACAGGUGUUUCGUUCCAGUUUGUUACACUUUUUCUCAGAGAAGAAUCCUUGCUGCCACCAAAGCAAGGAGGAAAGUGAUGACUGAGUGCUGACUGGGGAUGAAAUAGUUGACGAUCUAUUUCUUCCAUCUGACUUUACGUCAGGGCCACCAAAUUAGACGAGUGUGACCUUUAAAUUAAUUAAAGACAAUAAUUGUUUUAAACUUUUUCACUUAAGCUAAUUAAGGAAACAAUUUUUCAACAAAACUGCAUGUUUGUAUGAUAUUUCAAUGUAAAAUAAAAUAGUUUACCAGGAAAAA
rnacentral:misc_RNA from 1 species